GCUGUGGUAGCUCAGAUGGCAAGGGCAUCUGGCUUCUGACUAGAAGGUCUUGGGUUCAAUCCCAGGUAGAGGCA
rnacentral:tRNA from 1 species